rnacentral:rRNA from 1 species
UACGGGGGGGGCAAGCGUUGUUCGGAAUUACUGGGCGUAAAGGGCUCGUAGGUGGCCAACUAAGUCAGACGUGAAAUCCCCAGGCUUAACCUGGGAACUGCGUCUGAUACUGGAUGGCUUGAAUUCGGGAGAGGGAUGCAGAAUUCCAGGUGUAGCGGUGAAAUGCGUAGAUAUCUAGAGGAAUACCGGUGGCGAAGGCGGCAUCCUGGACCGAGAUUGACACUGAUGAGCGAAAGCUAGGGGAGCAAACGGG